rnacentral:rRNA from 1 species
UAAUUCUUUUUAUAUAAUUUAUUUAAUAAUUUAAUAACAUUGAAUAAAAUUUAAUUAGUAAUAAAUUAAAUAUUUAAAUAAUUUUUAAUUUAUUUCAUUUAAUGUUUAAAAUAAUUAUUUAAAUGUAAAUUUAUUAUAGAAAAUUAUUUAUGUUAUUAAUAAAUUAAAGUGCCAGCAAUUGCGGUUAUACUUUAAAUGAAAAUAAAUUUUUAAUAAUUAAUUAAUUAUAUAUAAAAAUAAUUUUAUAAAUUAAAAAAAAAUUUUUUUAUGGUGAAAUAUAAAUAAAUUUAAAUUUUAAUUUUAAAAAUUAAAUAAUUAAAUUAUAUAAAAUUUAAAUUUAAACUAGGAUUAGAUACCCUAUUAUAUUAUUAAAAAAAAUAUUAAUUAUAUAUUAAAUGUAAAAAAUCAUUAAAAAUAAAGAAUUUGGCGGUAUUUUAUUAUAUUAGAGGAAUUUGUUAAUUAAUUUGAUGAUCCACGAAUGGAAUUACUUAAUUAUAAAAUUUUUUAUAUAUUGUUGUUGAAAAAUUAUAUUAUUAGAUAUUAAUUAAAAUAUAUUUAAUUAAAUAAUAAUAAUUCAAAUCAAAAUGUAGAUUAAUUAAGAUUUAAAUGAAUUACAAUUAAUUUUAUUAAUAGAAAUUAAAUUUUAAUAUUUAAUAAAAAAUGGAUUUAAAUGUAAAUUUUUAUAAAUUUAUAAAUUGAAUUAUUAUUUAAAAUAUGUACAAAUUGCCCGUCAUUUUCAUUUUAAAGAUGAAAAAAGUCGUAACAAAGUAAAUAUAUUGGAAAAUGUAUUUAGUUUAAU